rnacentral:sRNA from 1 species
ACAGAAAACAAAACCUCAUACCUUUGAGACAGAGUAUUAUUGCGUACCCCAGCCCAGCUGCAAAACUCAUGAGCCUCUGCCUCAGUUCCCCAUGAUUAAUGAAAGUUUUAAGAAAGAAAACACAAUGUCCUUAGUUCCAAGCCUGUUGUGCGGUGUCAAUGUAAUUCACUGUCCUUUCUUUCUGUCAGUGAGUGAGCCCUGUAAGGGGACGUGCUGUGGGAGCUCUCCAUGGCUCCAGAACGCCACAGAAGACAGGAGAAGCUAGAAGAAACACAGCCAGGGGAACCUGAGUAUUAGCGGGGAAACUCCACCGAGCUCCUCACCCCAGAACCCUGGCUUUCCCGAGGGUGGAGUCCAUGCCUCUCCCUCCCAGUCAGGCUUCUGGGAAGUCAUCCAGCAACACUGCCAUUUGGUGGUUUGUUUGUUUGCUUCUAAAGACAUAAAAAUCCAAGCUUAUCAAACAAAGUCACACUUGGCCCUGCCAUCUUGAGAGGUAAAUUCCACCAUUAUCUAUGCACUUCAACCCCUGCGCAGAACACUUAGUUCCCAGGCGAGCUGGCAGCUGUCUCCAGGGUUGACCUUCACCAACUCACCCCUUCAGCCGAGGAGCCAGUCAGUCACGAGGCGGGCGUGCCAGUCACACAGACUAGGGAAAUGCCCAAAGGUCCAGCCCACAAGCUGGGAGGUUUGAAAAAACCUCUUUGAACUUCAGUUUCCUCGUUUCUAUAAAAGUGGCUUGAGGACAAUUGUCUCCUCACCAGCUGGCUUGUGACGAGGAGUCAUGAAAAGGUGAUUAAACAUUGACCCCAGUGCUGGCUUUGGGGAGGGCUCAACACGGAACAGCUGUGGUCUCGCUACUCACGAGUGGAAGGACGAGGUGAGGCUGGGAGAGGAUUGUACACUAAAAGGGAAAGACAGAGAUCUUGUGGCUAAGAAGCACGGGGCAAAAUGAGGUCAACUAGUGGAAACUUCAUCCAAACCUUUGCCAGAACUCUCUUAAAGCCUAAACUCAAAAUCACCCAUUCCUACUGUGUGUGUUAGAACCCACUGAAACGGAAAGGGAGCAUCCUGGUCCAGAAGUAGGGUUCAUGUUCAUACUGCAUCUUUGCACAAAUUACAGGCCCGGCAUGGGAGGGGCAAGACAGUGCCCUCUCUCUGAGAGCAUGCAGCCCCGUUAGAGUGGAAGCCCUGCAAGGCUAGCAUUCUUCUCCUCCUGAGGACUGUGUGAUACUCUACUCGUGGCUCCUGCCUCUCCUCACUCUGCAAAGCCCACAGGACCAUAGAACGAGAGGGAAAGAGACACGACGAGUUUCCGGAUGAGCGCUGGAUGCUUUGUGAGCUGUAAGAGUCAUGAGGUCACUCCAACCCUGCUUUCCGUCCUUCAGUCACCCAUUCGGUACCCAUCAGGAUAUGCUAGGUACCACUGUGCAUCCCAAAAGGGCAUCAUAUGAUGCAAGAUGCAGGCUUUCCUGGGUCCACAGCAACAUCAAAAAGAGCAAACCAGACAUGCAAAGAAAGCGAUUUUAACACGAGACAGAUGUGCAACUGAGUAACACGAUCAGGUGAUGCCAGCCACAUAAACAUGUUUUGAAAAUGUGUAUUUUAUUUCUUAUACAUGUACAUUUGUUUUCAUCAAAAAUAAAGAUCAAAUCAAAUUUCAAAGAGAUAUAAAACCCAAA